rnacentral:lncRNA from 1 species
CUGGAAGCCGGCCCUGGCGUGCAGGCGGCUCUUCUGGGAAGCCCUGAAGGCCAGCGUGGACAAGGGCUCUUUCCAGAGAAGUAGGAGUGUUUUCCAAUUUAUAAAAUGCUUUUAAGUUGGCCUGAGACUUGAAACAAACAAACAAACAACAGAUUCUGGUGCUGCAAACUCUGCUAGCGCAGAACUAAGAAAACGUCCCUAGAG